CUAGCGACAGGCCUAACACAUGCAAGUCAGGGGCAGCACAAGGAGCAAUCUGAGGUGGCGACCGGCGCACGGGUGAGUAACACGUAUGCAACCUGCCUGUAAGCGGGGAAUAACCCGUUGAAAGACGGACUAAUACCGCAUAAUACUAAAUUACUGCAUGGUAAUUUAUUUAAACAUUUAUGGCUUACAGAUGGGCAUGCGCAUGAUUAGCUAGUUGGAGAGGUAACGGCUCCCCAAGGCAACGAUCAUUAGGGGUUCUGAGAGGAAGGUCCCCCACACUGGUACUGAGACACGGACCAGACUCCUACGGGAGGCAGCAGUGAGGAAUAUUGGUCAAUGGACGAGAGUCUGAACCAGCCAAGUCGCGUGCAGGAAGAAUGUUCCCUAUGGAUUGUAAACUGCUUUUGCAGGGGAAUAAAGUGCAUCACGUGUGAUGUUUUGUAUGUACUCUGCGAAUAAGGAUCGGCUAACUCCGUGCCAGCCGCCGC
rnacentral:rRNA from 1 species